CUAGACUGAACUCAACAAUAUAUGCACUCUCAUCAUUGUACAGGGAUAUCUUGUAUAUUUCAAAUUAAAGAUUAUUGAUGGACCUUGUAGAAAUGAAUUGGACUUCAGUAACCUACUUUCCUAUAUUGUUUUCAUUGCCUUAUUCUAAAAUAAUUAUCCUACAGUUAUAAUCAAAGCAAAAUAAAUGAAAUAAAAGGAAACUAGACCAUUUAUCAUACAGAAGGACUCCAGUAUAUUUUGAGUUACAUACACAAUUGGGAUUAAGUGACUUGCCCAGAGUUACACAGCUAAGAAGUGAUAAAAGUAUAUGAGGCUAAAUUUGAAUUCAAAUUCUCUUGAUCUGGUGCUCUAUCUACUGCAUCAUCUAGCUGCUCCAUAACAUUUCAAAUGUCACAUAUUUGGUUUCUCCUGAAAUAUUUUCAGGAUUCCAACUAUUGGCAGCAAUCUAACAUGAUUUAAAAUAAUCCAUUGGAUACUGGAUCAAUAUCCAUGUUGAAUUUCAAUAUCUUGAGUCAUGGUAGUAAGCUUUCAUCACCUCAACUUAAAAUAGGAUUAUCCUAUUAGAGCAAUAUAAAGGAAAGAGAAACAAGUUAAUUAUCUUUAUGCUAUUCUCAAGGAAUGGACCAGAUUUUUAGUAACAAAUGUUAUAAAAGAUAUUGGCUUUUCCUUUACAUUCAAGAUUCUUAUUGACAGCAAUAUAAUUUGAAAUGACACUCUUCAGUGGAUACUGGAUCAAUGUCCACAUAUAAUAGGAUUAAAUUUAACUACCUUUUUCCUUUAUAUUUGCUUUAAAUAGUGCCACAGCUUCUCAGAAACACAAGUCAAAUGGAGUAUAUUAAUCUCCAGACCAUGUUUUCUUCUCAAAGAAUUUAUUAUAUAUCUAGGUUCUUAAAAUUUUAUAACUAUUGGGUCUUCAAUAUUUUUAGCAUUUCAGAUUUUGGCAUCAUUCUAAAAUGAACUGAAUUGUUACAACAUCUUGAAUCUGGGAUGAUUGUGUUGGACUUAAGUAUUUUGGUUCUCAGAAGUUGAAUAUCUUAGCUUGAAAUAAUGCAAUCCUUUUGAUUCAAAAUAACUCAUGCUAAAUUGGAGUAAACCAUACACUUUUACUCUAGUUACAUAAAAAUUUAAGUUGAUAAAGGCUGUAUUUCUUUCUACUGACUGGUCAGCAGGAUUCUAGAAAUUUUCAGCAAUUUAACAUGGAUUGGAACUAUGUAUCUGAUCAGUAUUGUGGCAUAACUGUACUAGAUUUAGGGUUUUUUGGGGUUUUUUUUAGAUAUUUUGGUUCCCAGAAUUAAGUCUUCAUUUCCUUCAUUUGAAACUGAACUAUGCUUCUCAUUCAAAACUACAUAAACCAAAUGGGAACAAACAAAUUGAUUUUUAUAUAGUCAAUUCAAGACAUGUAUGUCUAGUUAUAUAUUUACAUUUCAGUUAUUUUUGGUUUCUUCAAGUAUUCCAGGAUAAUUACAACUGGCAGCAAUUUAACAAGAAUUGUAACUCUUCAUUGGAUAGUGAUUCAAAGUCUUUCUGUAUUGGCAUUGAAUUUUAGCAUCUUGAUUUCUAGUAACAAAAUGUCAUUGUUUUAGUUUCAAACAAGCCAAAUGGCAAUUGUUUAAACUUAUAUUAUUCCCAGGGAAUGUGUGGGGGUGGGGUGGGGAGGGAGGUGGGUGAGGAGUGGCUUCUAAAAAGUUGUGGAUUUCUUUGGCAGGGAUUUCAGGAUUUUAGUUAAUUGAUAGGAAACCAACAUGAAAUGAAAUUCUUCAUUGGAUCAAUGUUUUUGGAUUAGAUUGAAUUGGAUUUAUUUUGGUCCUUUGCAAGUUUUCACUACUCAAUUUAUAGUUCUCUCAGACUUUCCGAACAUACAAGUCAAAUGGAAAACUAGUUCCUAUACCAGGGAAUGUGCCAGAUUUCUCAUUGAAUAUCUAAGUUCUCACAGGUUAUAUAGGAUUUCAGUCUUAGCUUGAAAUACAGCUAUCAUUUUGCAUACAGAACAAAAAAAAUAGGACUAAAGCAAUUGCUCAUGUUCCAAAUAUUAUGUUGCAACACAUACAUGUAUAUAUUCAUGUGUGCACAUGCAUGUCUUUUAAGCACUGGGAAUACUAAGACAGAAGAUAGUCCCAGCUCAAUCUAAAAUGGGAAACAUAUAAAAAGAAGCUGGGGAAGGGUUUCUGAGUUGACUUCACCUCAAGUGUAGGCACAUGGGAAAUUUCAUGCCAUCUUUAAGUAAUGAAAAAUAUGGGAAUUCUCCAAUAUCCAUCACUAUGUAUCUGAUCAGUAUUGUGGCAUAACUCUACUAGAUUUUGGGUUUUUUUAGAUAUUUUGGUUCCAUCAGAAUACAUCCUCAUACAGUAUCGUUAUUGAGAUAUGUAAUGAUCUCCUGGUUCUGCUCAUUUCACUUAGUAUCAGUUCAUGUAAGUCUCGCCAAUCCUCUCUGUAUUCAUCCUGCUGGUUAUUUCUUACAGAACAAUAAUAUUCCAUAACAUUCAUAUACCACAAUUUACUCAACCAUUCUCCAAUUAAUGGGCAUCCAUUCAUUUUCCAGCUUCUAGCCACUACAAACAGGGCUGCCACAAACAUUUUGGCACAUACAAGUCCCUUUCCCUUCUUUAGUAUCUCUUUGAGGUAUAAGCCCAGUAGAAACACUGCUGGAUCAAAGGGUAUGCACAGUUUGAUAACUUUUUGAGCAUAGUGCCAGAUUGCUCUCCAGAAUGGCUGGAUGUGUUCACAAUUCUACCAACAAUGUAUCAGUGUCCCUGUUUUCCCACAUCCCCUCCAACAUUCCGCAUUAUCUUUUCCUGUCACUUUAGCCAAUCUGAUGGGUGUAUAGUGGUAUCUCAGAGUUGUCUUAAUUUGCAUUUCUCUGAUUAAUAAUGAUUUGGAGCAUAUUUUCAUAUGGCUAGAAAUAGUUUCAAUUUUUCAUCUGAGAACUGUCUGUUCAUAUCCUUUGACCAUUUAUCAAUUGGAGAAUGGCUUGAUUUCUUAUAAAUUAGUCAAUUCUCUAUAUAUUUUGGAAACGAGGCCUUUAUCAGAACCUUUGACUGUAAAAAUGUUUUCCCAGUUUAUUGUUUCCCUUCUAAUCUUGUCUGCAUUAGUUUUGUUUGUACAAAAACUUUUCAAUUUGAUAUAAUCAAAAUUUUCUAUUUUGUAGUCAAUAGUGAUCUCUAGUUCUUCUUUGGUCAUAAAUUCCUUCUUCUUCCACACGUCUGAGAGGGAAACUAUCCUAUGCUCUUCCAAUUUAUUUAUAAUCUCAUUCUUUAUGCCUAAAUCAUGAACCCAUUUUGUCCUUAUCUUGGUGUAUGGUGUUAAGUAUGGGUCAAUGCCUAGUUUCUGCCAUACUAAUUUCCAAUUUUCCUAACAAUUUUUGUCAAAUAAUGCAUUCUUAUCCCAAAAACUAGAGUCUUUGGGUUUGUCAAACACUAGAUUAUUAAAGUUAUUGGCUGUUUUGUCCUUUGAACCUAACCUAUUCCAUUGAUCAACUAGUCUAUUUCUUAGCCAAUACCAGAUGGUUUUAGUAACUGCAGCUUUAUAAUAUAAUUUUAGAUCUGGUACAGCUAGGCCACCUUCAUUUGAUUUAUUUUUCACUAAUUCCCUUGAAAUUCUUGACCUUUUGUUUUUCCAUAUGAACUUUGUUGUUAUUUUUUCUAGGUCAUCAAAAUAGUUUUG
rnacentral:lncRNA from 1 species